CUCCCAUUGGCUCUUCACGGAGGCUCUAGUGUGAGCCAGCUGUGUAGGCCCAGCCCCAAGCAUCCAUCCUUAAAAAGGCAGGGCUGGGGCUCCUCCUGAUACUGGCUUUGCUCAGAAGAUUGGUGGGAAUACAGAGUUCUGACCUUAACCAGCAAGGCUGACGGCUGUAGCCACCCGUGACUGUGGGUAACUGAUGUUAUCUCUCUGCCCAGGUCUUGUGUAAAUAAAGCCAAGGCCAUGGAGAGUCAGUAGGAAUUACACUGCAGAUGUUAAAUUUGAAAGGGGCACUCGCCCAACAGCCAGGCCCAACGCGGUAAGAAAAAUCCCGAAAUGAUGUAGCAGAAGGGAGCCCAUGCAAGUAGAUGGCGUCGGCUACAGUGUUUAACUAGAAAGAUGAACCGCACAAUGGAGACAGAUGAGGUUGAAUACCACUGAAAUAUGGACAGGAAUCACCACAGCCGUACAAUUAUGAGCCUAUGGGCGUCAGUGUAAUCGGGAACCGGCGAGGAGGAGCAUCAAUGAGGAUCGAGAAGCGGCCUAGAAGAACUUGGACUUGGAGCGCCUUGGACUGAUAUUUUGGGGUCUCUACGAGGAGGAGAGGGAGAGAGAAACGCAGUGAGCCGCACCAUCCUGCGCGGGCCUGUUUCCCAGAGCUGGUCCUGCACCUUCACCUGAAGGUCACGCCCUCGAACCGUGGACAUCUCAGGAGAGCAGGAGCACGCUGGACUACCUGAAUGAUCUGGAGCUGAAUGGCCGCUCUCAUCCCUUUGGGGAGGUGUGAACCCACCGUGGCCGAUCUCUCACCCCACACAUUCCCAGAAAGAAAACACGCCGGCCUCGUGUCUGCCGCGGUGGUCCAAAGGUUCACGGCGCAUAGAGGCGGUGUUGGCGGGAGGCACGGCCCGCGUCCGCGGCAGACUCUUCGGCCAGACCCACUUACAGGAACCCCUUCUCCGCGAGAUGAUUUAGCGCCUGGUGCUAAAAUCAUGUGCUGCACACAAUAAAAAUGUGGCUGAACACACUCCUGAGUUUAUAAAAACAGGUUGAACGUGUAAGUUUCGAUGUUUUGACUUUGUAGGUGCAGUUAAAUUUAGUAUGGAUCCAAGCAAAGCAUUUUCACCUCCUGUAUUGCAAAUUGCAAAUACUUUUUUUCUGUCCUACAUCCACCAAGAUGAUAAUAUGUAAGUAAGAUCAUUUUCCAUAACAGGCCAUUGCCACCUAAGUUAACAUUUUGCUCUUAAACCCGAGAGGAUGAGGCAUACUUGUAGCUGUACGACACCAUAUAUCAGUCAUCACAGUUGUCUGCCCUCAACGUGUCCUAUCACACCAUACACCCUUAGCAGAGCAUUCCAUAUGAACAGCCAGAGCAAGCCCCCAGUCCACCUCCCCCACGCCACAAGACUCCCCGGAGAGCCCAGUGCUUCUGACAGAUGGUGUGGCAGCAGUUCACAUGAGCAUAGAUACCACAGUGAUGUAUGA